rnacentral:rRNA from 1 species
UACGUAGGUGACCAGCGUUGUCCGGAUUUACUGGGCGUAAAGAGCGCGCAGGCGGUCGUUCAAGUCGAGUGUGAAAGCCCCCGGCUCAACUGGGGAGGGUCACUCGAUACUGAUCGACUGGAAGGCAGGAGAGGGAAGCGGAAUUCCCGGUGUAGUGGUGAAAUGCGUAGAUAUCGGGAGGAACACCAGUGGCGAAGGCGGCUUCCUGGCCUGUUCUUGACGCUGAGGCACGAAAGCGUGGGGAUCGAACAGG